AUUGAACGCUGGCGGCAGGCCUAACACAUGCAAGUCGAGCGGAUGAAGAGAGCUUGCUCUCUGAUUUAGCGGCGGACGGGUGAGUAAUGCCUAGGAAUCUGCCUGGUAGUGGGGGAUAACGUCCGGAAACGGGCGCUAAUACCGCAUACGUCCUACGGGAGAAAGCAGGGGACCUUCGGGCCUUGCGCUAUCAGAUGAGCCUAGGUCGGAUUAGCUAGUUGGUGAGGUAAUGGCUCACCAAGGCUACGAUCCGUAACUGGUCUGAGAGGAUGAUCAGUCACACUGGAACUGAGACACGGUCCAGACUCCUACGUGGAGGCAGCAGUGGGGAAUAUUGGACAAUGGGCGAAAGCCUGAUCCAGCCAUGCCGCGUGUGUGAAGAAGGUCUUCGGAUUGUAAAGCACUUUAAGUUGGGAGGAAGGGUUGUAGAUUAAUACUCUGCAAUUUUGACGUUACCGACAGAAUAAGCACCGGCUAAC
rnacentral:rRNA from 1 species